rnacentral:rRNA from 1 species
GAGUUUGAUCAUGGCUCAGAACGAACGCUGGCGGCAGGCCUAACACAGCAAGUCGAACGCCCUCUUCGGAGGGAGUGGCAGACGGGUGAGUAACGCGUGGGAACGUGCCCUUCGGUUCGGAACAACCCUUGGAAACAAGGGCUAAUACCGGAUACGUCCGUAAGGAGAAAGAUUUAUCGCCGAAGGAUCGGCCCGCGUUGGAUUAGCUUGUUGGCGGGGUAAUGGCCCACCAAGGCGACGAUCCAUAGCUGGUCUGAGAGGAUGAUCAGCCACACUGGGACUGAGACACGGCCCAGACUCCUACGGGAGGCAGCAGUGAGGAAUAUUGGACAAUGGGCGAAAGCCUGAUCCAGCCAUGCCGCGUGAGUGAUGAAGGCCCUAGGGUUGUAAAGCUCUUUCAGCGGGGAAGAUAAUGACGGUACCCGCAGAAGAAGCCCCGGCUAACUUCGUGCCAGCAGCCGCGGUAAUAC